rnacentral:rRNA from 1 species
CGCGCAGGCGGUCGUUCAAGUCGAGUGUGAAAGCCCCCGGCUCAACUGGGGAGGGUCACUCGAUACUGAUCGACUCGAAGGCGGGAGAGGGAAGCGGAAUUCCCGGUGUAGUGGUGAAAUGCGUAGAUAUCGGGAGGAACACCAGUGGCGAAGGCGGCUUCCUGGCCUGUUCUUGACGCUGAGGCGCGAAAGCUAGGGGAGCAAACG